rnacentral:tRNA from 1 species
GCGCCUGUGGCUAUUGGAAAGCACCCCUUGGAUAUGGGUAAACGUAGGUUCGAAUCCUGCCUGGCGCU